AGACAGAGAGGAAGAGAGGGAGGGUGAACAUGAGGGGAACGGAAGAGGAUGGCUUUUGCCUUUUCUGGUAGCUACAGCGAACGAGAGAAGCUCUUUGUGUUGGAAGUGGUGCUGAGACAGAAACGAGGAGAGAGCGACUGAAAGGCUGGAAUGGUGUGAGAGCACAGAGAAGCAGACUCCUCCAGGGCUUUUCGUUUGCAGUAGUAAGGGCCACACCUCCAGGAUUGAACCAUGGAUGAUGAAUUUGAGUGGCGCAGGGAGCAGAGGAGACAGAAGAGAGAGGAGCUGCGGCUGGAAGCAGAAAGGAUGGCUUAUCGCCGGAAUGAGGAGGACGAGGAAGAGGCAGCUCGUGAGCGUCGAAGAAGAGCACGUCAAGACCGUAUACGAGGCAAGGAGGGAGAAGAGAUAGCUAACCCAGCCGAAAGCGUGGGGCUUAACAGCCACAGUGUCACAGAGACAGUGUCGAGCUCAGGCCAGGCCGGUGAGGGAGAUGAUGAGGAGCAAGCCCUGCUUGAUCGCCUGGCCAAGCGUGAGGAGCGCAGGCAGAGGAGGAUGAAGGAGGCACUGGACAGGCAGAAACAGCUGGAGUCCGUAGACGAUCCAUCCUACAGCACCUACAGUGUGGAGAGCUCCUCUACCACCUCUUACCGGGCAUUCAGCAACCAGGAAGACGAGCCGACACUCAACAGCAAGGAGGAGGUGAAAGAGGAGGUGAAGGAGGAGGUCAUUCCUCAGAAGGAGUUGGAGGAGGAGAAGCCACGCAGGUCUUACUUGAGGGAACAGGAAUCCACUGAGGAAAAAGCUAAAAUAGAAGAUGAGGGCAGUACUGGUCAGGAUGCUGUGUGUCCAAGUGAAAAAUGCAAGCCUUUAAAUGAAGACCUAGCUGAUUCUACAGUCAUUACAGAGCAGGAAGUGGAGGAGGAUGCAGCAGAAGUCGAUGAGGAUGUAGAGGAAGUAGAGGAGAAUGAGUUAGAGAUGGAGGAUGAGGAUGCAGGAAGGAAGAGCAAGCAGCAGAACGGGGGAGUGUAUGAGGACAGCAAACACAAAAAGGUGGAGAGAACCCAGAGCCGUGGCAGCGUGCACUCUUCUGAGGGUCCGGCAGCAGACGAAGGGGACGACGGUGAGCAAACACGCUUGGAGGCCGAGAGGAAGCUGGAGGAGCUGAAGAGGAGGAGAGACGAGACAGAGAUCGAGGAGUUUGAAAGGAUGAAACAAAAGCAGCAGGAGGCUGAAGCCGAGCUGGAGGAGCUGAAGAGGAAGAGGGAGGAAAGGAAGAAAGUGCUGGAGGAAGAAGAGAGGCUGAAAAAGCAAGAGGAGUCUGAGAGGAAGACAAGAGAGGAGGAGGAGAAGAGGAGGAUGAAGGAAGAGAUAGAGAGGAGAAGAGCGGAGGCGGCUGAACGGAGGCAGAAGGUCGGGGAAGAGGUAGAUGGAGACACCAGCAAGCCCUUUAAGUGUGUGAGCCCACGAGGAUCCUCUCUGAAGAUUGGUGAAAGGGCAGAAUUCCUCAACAGGUCAGCGCAGAAGAGUUCCGUGAAGGCGUCUCACUCUCCCGUGGUGUCAAAGAUUGACAACAGAUUGGAGCAGUACACCACGGCUGUGCGGAGUAAUAAAGAGGCGCGCUCACCACGCGUGGCUGCAAUCGACCUGCCCGUGGUUUCUGAUGGCGUGCGGAACAUUAAGAGCAUGUGGGAGAAGGGCAAUGUUUUCAGUUCCCCCAUCAGCACACCCUCCAGCAACAAGGAUGCAGCUGGAAUAAAAGUGGGCGUCGCGGGCCGCAUCAACGAUUGGCUGAACAAAACACCGGAGGCGGGCAAAACGCCAGGAGGAAGACCUGUGGACCUGAAACCUGGCGAUGUUACUGGCAAGCGCAGUCUAUGGGAAAACAAAAGUUCCUCUGCUACCAAGACUUCUUCCUGCUAGUUGUCUUCAGAUUUGGCUCCUUGAGGAGGUGACAAGCAGAGGAGAGAGCAAAUCUGUUGCCAAUGGAAUGGGCCACUAACCUUUCCACCACGCCACAGCACCAGGGACCAAGUGAAAGCACCAUAUUCCUUUCAUGUGCAUGUACUCGUACCAAAAAAACAACAAAAAAAUAGUCUUCUAUGUUUUUUUUAUGGCCCAGACCUAUCUCAAAGAUGAGAUAGAAUUAAAAGAAAGUCUUAUAUUUUUGCUGUGCAGUCAAAGGCCUCCUGAUUACAGAGUAGUAUUUGACAUGAAGCCACUUUUAUAGUGUGAAAUGUGGACAUUUAGAUCAACUGAAAAUACUGAGCAGGAUUAAAAUGACCCAUUUCCUUUCGAUGGAUUAGACAUAUUUAAAUACCUUGCAUAAUUUCACUCAUAAUUUUAAACAGCUUGUAAUGGGUUGCUUCUUUUGAAUCUCUUCUCUGCUAGUCACCCUUCACACCUUUUAAUUUAUAAUUAAAGCAAAGCUUGACAUAUUCAUAUUUUAUUCAUGUUCACAAGUCCAGGGCAAAGUAUGGGCACCCAUAGAGUAGUGUAUUUUUUACUUCGUUUUUUUUUUUUUUUUUUUGUCAAAGUGACACAUUUUUAAUAGUGAAACUAUGGUCUUAAUAAUAUAUGUUAGCACAUAGUGUAUGUUUUGUAAUUAACUAUAUAUUUUGUAUGUUGCCACUUUAUAUUAAAAUGACAUUCUUGCUUCUGCUCUCAAUAUUAAAAUUGGAAUACAGCCAUUAUAGACGUUCAUGAUUAUUAUUACAGUAUCUUCUUUUAUUCAUUUUUGCUUCAAGUGCUUUUUAGUCAGUAUAUUCAACAUGAUGUAUCAGAUUUCAAGUAGACGUAAAGGCUUCGCUCUGCACUGAAUAAAGGGAACGUAAAAUGGAAAAAAAAAA